rnacentral:ncRNA from 1 species
CCUAAUCCUCGCCGCGACGGUUCCCUCACGGGAUCAAAAGGGAACGCGGUGCGGACGGAUUUCCGCCCCAUGCCGCGGCUGCCCCCGCAACUGUAAGCGGCGAGCCUUUCGCCAUACGCCACUGGGGCCUCGGACCUGGGAAGGCGGCGUGAAGGCACCGACCCGCGAGCCAGGAGACCUGCCGUCAGCCGUGGUCACACG